GACAGAGGGUGCGAACGUUGCUCGGAAUUACUGGGCGUAAAGGGCUCGUAGGCGGCCAACUAAGUCAGACGUGAAAUCCCCAGGCUCAACCUGGGAACUGCGUCUGAUACUGGAUGGCUUGAAUCCGGGAGAGGGAUGCAGAAUUCCAGGUGUAGCGGUGAAAUGCGUAGAUAUCUGGAGGAAUACCGGUGGCGAAGGCGGCAUCCUGGACCGGCAUUGACGCUGAGGAGCGGAAGCCAGGGGAGCAAACGGG
rnacentral:rRNA from 1 species